rnacentral:lncRNA from 1 species
AGAGACUCGCCAUGAGGCAGCUAGCUAGCUGUCCCUGACCGCAGGAGAGAAGGUGGUUUUGCUGUGGGCACAUUGGUCUUCAAUACGAUCCUCCUGUCUCAGCCUCCCAGAGUGACCUGUCUACAUGAUUAAUUUCACUCCUUGACAAGUACAAACGUGAGUAGAGCAGCUUGUGAACUUAAUUCCCCAAACCAGGAAGGUGGAGACCUAGGAUAUUGUGUGGCUGCUGAAAGAGCUCUACAUCAGCAUCUGUAUGUAUCCCUUCAAUAAACAUGUGCUGUGAA